rnacentral:rRNA from 1 species
UACGAAGGGGGCUAGCGUUGUUCGGAAUUACUGGGCGUAAAGGGCGCGUAGGCGGUCCUGAUCGUCGGAUGUGAAAGGCCUGGGCUCAACCUGGGAACUGCAUCCGAUACGGCGGGACUGGAGUGUGGGAGAGGUUGGUGGAAUUCCCAGUGUAGAGGUGAAAUUCGUAGAUAUUGGGAAGAACACCGGUGGCGAAGGCGGGUCUCUGGGCCGUAACUGACGGCUGAGGAGCGAAAGCGUGGGGAGCGAACAGG